UUGAGAUAUUGGGACCCAUGGCUGGAUGAUGGCCGUUCGUGUGAGACCGUUGCCUCUUCCUUCCUCCCUGUUUGAGGCCAGCCAAGAGAAGGAUGGAGCCGUUACCUGGGGAGUGGGCUUUCCGGUAGGUCAUCUGGCUGAGAAAUGCCUCACACAGUGCUGGUGCUGGCACAGCAGGCAGGAGAUAAAUACUUACUACCCUUUAAAGAGAGAAUCAUUGAAUGACAGUAUAGGACCCUCCCAUCCAAUCCAUUAAUGCUAAUUGUCCUCAAUCAUUGUCACAUUCCUGGUCCUCCCAGAAUAGGUCGCACCCCUUUUCAUACGUCUUUAGAGUACUCGCUGCGUGUUGUUUUCACAAUACUCUUUUAAUUUACGAUUACAUAUUUUGCAAAACGAUUUAAUGUCAGUCUUCAAGCCAGGGAGGGCUGUGAUUUUGUUUGUCCGUUACUGUAUUUCUAGAAUCUACCACAACCCCCACCACGAUAACUAUGUAUGGAAUUGGAUGAUUGAAUGGAUGUUUGAAGUUUAAAUGGUGCCCAAAUAAUAUUUUAUAUUCAUUGUUUUCUUGGAGUUUUUUGUUUGCCUUUUUGAGACCCCUGUGAUUUCUACAGCAUGUUAGUAUCCAAAUUUAACUAAAAGGCAAACCACUUAAGAUUCCUCUCCAGGAUCACACACGUAGUAGACAGUAGAGCUCAGUCUUAUUUAUUUUUUUUUUAAGUUUAUUCAUUUGUUCUGAGAGAGAGAGCACGGGAGGGGCAAGAGGGAGGGAGGGAGAGAAUCCCAAGCACUGAGAGUGUGGAGCCAGACACGGGGCUUGAGCCCACGAACCAUGAGAUCAUGACCUGAGCUGAAAUCAAGAGUCGGGCGCCCAACCAGCUGAGCCCUCCAGACGCCCCGGUGGAGCUCAGUCUUACAUAUGAGGCUUUUACCUAAUUCCUAGUACAGUGCAGUGCUUCUUCCGUCCUCUGGCUGGUACGUGAGACAGAACCUUCAAGUAUUUGUUCAAGAGACUGAUACAAUCGCCACUCUCGGGCAAAGUGCAGGGUAAACAUGGGAUAAAAAUUAAGCCAUUCGACGCGGUUCAUGAGAUGAGUUCUCGUGAAACUCCGCCCGAUACAGAUGUGCCAUUUUGGAUGACAGCAGACUAACCCAACUGGAUGAUCUCCACUGAGAAGUGUAAAGCUAAGUGAACAAAGUGGGGGCAGGAGUUGGAGUUCAGGAUGUACACUGAGGAAGUGUGGCACUUCCUGGUCCUGGGGAGGUCUGGUCUGCACUGCAGUCUGACAUCUUGAGGUUGCAAAACAGUCCAACUGGAAGAAGUGUUCCGGUUUGUUUGCAGUGAUUUUUCACGCGCAGCCCCGGCCCCAUGAGUUGCUUCGGUGAAGAGAACGGCGGAGCGUCCCUGGGCCGGGUCUGGGCCUAAACCUUAGGAGGUUCUGGCAGCUUCUCCGAUCACAGCCGCCACACUUCAAGCGCCCAACGGCCUCGUGUGUUUGAUGCUUCCGUGGUGAGCAGAAUGGUGUGGAUUACCCCACCACUGCGGAAAGUUCUGUCGGUCAGUGCCGCCCUAUACGGAUGUGCAGCGGGCACGACCGGUUACUGCCUGUCCAACACGCCCACCCGCCUGUCCUGCAAACAGAAUCCUGGUUCCGCUUGGCUGUCUGUUCUCCAUUUGUCCUCCCCCAGCCCGCUCCCCACCAGCUAACCGUGUCGCUCAGGAGAAGCUAACUUCAUCUUUGUUUCUGGAUCCGACUAGUCAAAACCAAUGCUAGUCUGUCAUGCCUCUUCUGAAACCCAGACUCUACCCCGUUGAGACGCGACGUUCCCCCACGGCCCAGCAGAGGACAAAUGACGUAAAUUGGCCCAGUCAGGCUGAAAGAAAGGACUCUUGUACCAGGCCUGCAAGAGAGACACUCUUCCAAGGGGGAUAUGGAUUAGGAAGCCUGAGGCCCUCAUUGCUGCUGGCAGCUGUCUCACACUCCCGAGACGAACCAGCUGGGGAUGUGGACAGCACGGUAGAGAAUCAGGGAGAAGUUAGGUAGUGAAAGAUCACAAAUUGUACACUGUUUAGGCCACGUGCUGGGUGUUCUGUUACUUGUAGCCAAGACUCACCCGUCAUGAUUCUGUUAAAAAGUAAGAACAUAAAAGGAGAGGGGGUGCCUGGGUGGCUCAGUCGGUUAAGGGUCCGACUUCGGCUCAGGUUGUGAUCUCGCGGUCCGUGAGUUCGAGCCCCGCGUCAGGCUCUGUGCUGACGGCUCAGAGCCCGGAGCCUGUUCCAGAUUCUGUGUCUCCCUCUCUCUGACCCUCCCCCGUUCAUGCUCUGUCUCUCUCUGUCUCAAAAAUAAAUAAACGUUAAAAAAAAAUUAAAAAAAAAAAAAGAACAUAAAAGGAGAGGGCAGCCUGAUUGUUGUCUCACAUUGGGCCAGUUUGUGCUUUGAGCUCCUGCCUGGCCCCUGCAGCCCAUGCGCUCUGAGCCCCUGUGCUAAGCCCCAGUGAUUGUAACACUAAAUAAUUGAUACAAGUUGACGGCUCACCACCGUGUGGAGUAGACUCAUAAUACAUGCCUGUUCCUGGAAGUGACUGUGUGAGUCUCUCCUUUGAACCGAAAAUAAAUGAGUAAAUGACCUGAGUCGCACAGCUGGCGUCUGGGGGAUAAGUAUGGCGUCUGUCAUUUUACAGAGUACAGCUUUGUCACAGCCUCUUCGCCUCAAGGGCCCUGUGGGAAAGCGAGCCUUAACUGCAAGGGCGCUGGGGGUGCGGACUGGGGUGCACCACUGGCUGUCAGACACGGGACCCUUCCCUGCUCCAGCACUGCCCUGUCCCCUGGGAGGAGGUGCGAUCUGAUGGAGUGAAUUCAGGAGCCAUCAGAGACUGAGCACAUUUCAGGGGCGGCCGAACCUCUCUGACCUUUUCAUAAUAUUUCUGCGGCUCAUUUCAUCUCUGCGUGGCUCACCCCUUGCUUCCAGACAGUCGUACCUGUUUACUCACAGUUUCGGCUUCCUCAAAACGCCGGUUCACAGCUAGCCGUCACGGAUGUUCUGUGCCGUCCGUCGUCACCAGUCAACCGUAGUCCGCAAGGUGCGACGGCUCGGUGUCAGCGCUUGCGGCCCAUGCUUCUGCUUUUCUGCUCCCCGGUUCCAUCCUGGGGACCACGGCAGGCCCUGCUGGUCUCUGUGCACCAGACCGUGGUGGGAGGCGUUAGCAACGUUACAGUCAGGCCAUCCUGUCAAUCUUUGGACUCUCCUCCGGGACAGACUUGUCAUGAGUUCUGUUUAUUUCAGGGAGUCCCUGUUGUAACGGUUCGGUCUGGCUGCAGAGAAUCUAGGCAGAAGCAGAAAAGAUAAGCAGUAGAGGCACAGUCAACCCCCGGGGUGGAGUCAGGCCUUCCAUUCUUUGGCCCACAACAAAGCCAAACUCACCUGCCUGCGCUGCGUGAAUUAAUUCAGCUCUCGGAAUGACGUGUGUUUUCUUUUUACCGGGGAGGGGAGAGUGCGUGGCCAGGAAGUCGGGUUUGUUGGCUUUGCCUUUUUUUAAGCACUCGUUUUACCUGACCCUUGUGCGUAACGACCUCUGCUUCUUGGGGUUAUGUUCUCAUGUGCUUUAAAAAACCCCGGGCCAUCUGCAACAGCCAGGCAUUCACCGGCAGAGAGGGAAGGUAGGAGAGAGGGGGAAAGUGAAAGAUCAGGAACUCCCCCUUCCUCCCUUUUGAAGACGUGCCAGGUGUGGGGCCACACCUAACCACCCUGUCAUAACCACCACUCUACAACUCCUCACGAGUGUCUUAAUCCCUAUUGCAGUCAUAAAAUAGGUAAUCGGUACCUCCAAGUGUAUUUAUUUGGUUUUUAGAUUAGGGCUCACAGAAAAGGUCAGUGCAGAGGAACACGCGGGGAAGACCAUCAAAACACACGCAUAAAAUAAUUCAGCAAAUGGUAAUAAAGGCAUUUCCAACCCAUGGAGAAAAGCACGGAGUAUUCAAUGAAUUCUGUCGGAAUAACCAACUAUUACAUGUGGGAAAAACAGUUUUCACACUCCGAACCAGCAUCAAUUCCAGAUGGUUAAAAUAUUGUCAUGGAGAAAUAAAAGAAAAAGCAUUAAUUAAAAACGUUGGCAAACGGAAACUCUUAGGGCACAGAAUGUUUUCCUAAGCCUAACAGUAAAGCCACAGGCCAUAACAGAAGACUGUUAAGUAUCUGACCACAUAAAGACUUAAAACUUCCUUGCGUAAAAGAGGGUAAUUGCUGUUGACAGCAAACAAACUUAAAAAGUACUUGAAAUGCGUAUGCCAAACUUAGCGUCUUCGUUUUACCAGUUCUUGGGAGUCUUAUGGGAUGUAUUGGGUAAACAUCCAGUAAAUAAAACGCGCAGAGUGAGUGUCCGGGCAUUCUGGAGGACAGGCUGCCCCGUGGCCCUGCUUAGCAUCUAUUCUGAGGACAGCACCUUCUUUCUUGGGUUAACCUGUGCCCCCUGUGGUGCAGGCAGGACUGGCCUCCCCUGGGCGGGGUGUGGUCAUGUGACCUAAGCCUGUCCACUCUGUUGAGCUACGUGAUUGGCUCAAAGAUGGGAUAGUGACCCAAGGUGGUCUAAUCCGGGCUAAGCCGUGAAAGACAUUUCUGGGUCUAGGUUCUGCCCAUCGCUUAAAGUAGGUUUUUUCCUGGACAUUCAAUUGUGACCCCAUAAUUUCUCUUUCUGAUUAAGCAAGUGUGACUUGUCCCGUGCAAUGGAAAAGUUCCAGCUAAUAAUACAAGCAAUAGGCGCACACGCAUGCACACAAUUUACACCCACGUGCACACACAUCACACGCACACACAUAUUACACAUGCAUGCGUGCACCUUACACAUGCACAUAUGCAUUACACAGGCUUACACAAGCAUUGCACACGCACACAUUACACACGCAUACACAUUACACACAUGCACACACAUUUUUUUUAAAAAUGCCCUUCAAAGGGGAAAAAAAAGUUAACACUAAUAAUUUAAAAACGCAGAAAGACGGGACACGUCACUUGAACUGAAAGGCAGUUUGGGGGAAGUGAAGUGUGUGUGCCCAUAAAUGGCCAAUGGGGAGAUACGUGUGGUGCAAUGUUUCUAGAGGGCAGUGGGUGUUCAUUUCAAAACCACAUUCGCCGACACUCCGUGCGUAGUGCCAUUUCCAGGAAUUUAGAAUGCACAGAGACUUAGCUAUAAAACGUUCGUCGCAAUGUUGCCUAGAUUAGCAGGAUUGGGAGCAGCAAAGAUGUACAGGAGGAAGGCAUUGAUUGUAGCGCAUGGGGACUCUGGGAUGCUGUGUCCUUCCUCAAAGGAUACAGGGUUCUGAGGUGGAAACCAUUUAGGACACACUGUAUUUGUUUUCUCUUGUUACUAAACAAAUCACCACAACUGUAGCCACGUCAGCACCACCAGCCCACGCUUGUGCAAGUCAGGAGCCUGGGCGUGGCUGACUGGUUCUCAGUUCAGGGUCUUGCACAGCAGAAGUGAGGUCUCAUCUGGAGCUCUUUCUGGUUCCUGUGGCCGUGGCAGGAUCUAGUGUGUUGAGACGGGCGGUAAAGGUGCCAGUUUCCUGCCAGCUGUCAGGUGGGGGCGUGGGGGUGGCCUCCGCCCCAAGGGCCUGCCUCUGCUCUGUGCUCAUGGCCGCCGUGGGCCCCAAGGGCAGCAGCAGAGAAUCUCCCCGACCUCGCAUCCCUCUCACACCAGAGCCUUGUUGACAUCAGGAAAUGCCCAGCACCUUUAAAGGGACAGUUACUGGAUGAGACUCGCCCCGCAUAAUCUCCCCAUUUUAAGGGCGACUGAUUGGGAACUUAACCUACAAAUUCUCCUCACCCAACCACCUGGUUGGGCGUUUGAUUGAAUAACUGGAAGGUGACACGCAUCAGGAGGCUGGAAAUCUUGGGGCCAUGUUAGCACUGUGCCUACCGCGAUUAUUAAGUAAAAGUGAAAAAGAGCAAAUAACAGAACAACAACAAAAACCCAACCCGUGUAAAGCAUUUUUACUUUUUGUAACGCAAUGACAAGCACAAACCAAAGCAAUGAAAGUCAACAAAAUACCGUGUCCGUAUAGCGAGUCAAAGGGACCGCGGCAUCCGUUCUGUCUGCUACUCUGGGAGACAUCCUACCUUCUCGAGUCUCCGUUCCUUCAUCUGUAAAGGGCUGAGAACAGUAGUGCCUACCGUCCAGGGUGGGGGGAGGCCUGGUGGGGGAGAAAACUGCCCAGUGCCUGCGACCCUGGCGGCCGCAGGGGGGUGGGGGGUGCGACUGUUUUCGUGAUUAGAUUCACAGACUCUGGAGAAACCUGAGACCCAAGUGCUCAUAGUGUUUACCUCAGGGCGGUGGGAUUCGGUGUGAUUUUUAAGUUCUGUUUUGUGUAUCUGUAUGUGCUAAACAUAUGUGGGCGUUUAAUACAAAUAAAUGAAAAAAUUUAAAGAAUAAAUACGGCUCUCAGCAUACAACAGGUUGUUACUAGCAGCAGGUGAAAUAUCUUCCCUUUCAUCAGCCUCUGACGUGCACAGAAUUGGACCUUUGUCUCUUGUGUUACGAGACCCAUGGGGCCAUAGAGCAGCAACGGUGCGUUCACGCAGACCAUCUCGCGUGGCAACGGUGAGAAUCUUGGGGAUGAGCUUCCUUGUGCUGCAGAGUUAAGAACCCACCACGCCCCACCUUCAGAA
rnacentral:lncRNA from 1 species